GACGAACGCUGGCGGCGUGCUUAACACAUGCAAGUCGAACGGAAAGGCCCUUCUUUUUACUCGUGUUGCGGAGGCGAGCGUGACACGUGGAUGAUAGGACCUUCCCUUUGACUUUAGCCUGAGAUCCGGGAACUAAGGCCAAUUCAGGCCACGCGCUUCCUCGGCUGUGUGGGAAUGCGUUUGCUUCGGCGGUUGGGCUUGGACUCUCGGAUUUUCAGCUUGUUGGUGGGGCCAUGGCUUACCAAGGCUACGACGGGUAGCCGGCCUGAGAGGGUGACCGGCCACACUGGGACUGAGAUACGGCCCAGACUCCUACGGGAGGCAGCAGUGGGGAAUAUUGCACAAUGGGCGGAAGCCUGAUGCAGCAACGCCGCGUGCGGGAUGACGGCCUUCGGGUUGUAAACCUCUUUCACUGGGGACGAAGCGCAAGUGACGGUACCUAUAAAAGAAGCACCGGCUAACUACGUG
rnacentral:rRNA from 1 species